UACGGAGGGUGCAAGCGUUAAUCGGAAUUACUGGGCGUAAAGGGUGCGUAGGUGGUUUGAUAAGUUAUCUGUGAAAUUCCUGGGCUUAACCUGGGCCGGUCAGAUAAGACUGUUAGACUUGAGUAUGGGAGAGGGUAGUGGAAUUUCCGGUGUAGCGGUGAAAUGCGUAGAUAUUGGGAAGAACACCUGAGGCGAAGGCGGGUUGCUGGGCUGAUACUGACGCUGAGGCGCGAAAGCCAGGGGAGCAAACGGG
rnacentral:rRNA from 1 species